GACGAACGCUGGCGGCGUGCUUAACACAUGCAAGUCGAACGGAAAGGCCCUGCUUUUGUGGGUUGCUCGAGUGGCGAACGGGUGAGUAACACGUGAGUAACCUGCCCUUGACUUUGGGAUAACUUCCGGAAACUGGGGCUAAUACCGGAUAGGAGCUCCUGCUGCAUGGUGGGGGUUGGAAAGUUUCGGCGGUUGGGGAUGGACUCGCGGCUUAUCAGCUUGUUUGUGGGGUAGUGGCUUACCAAGGCUUUGACGGGUAGCCGGCCUGAGAAGGUGACCGGCCCCAUUGGGACUGAGAUACUGCCCAGACUCCUACUGGGGGCAGCAGUGGGAAAUAUUGCACAAGGGGCGGAAGCCUGAUGGAAGAACGCCGCGCGCGGGAUGACGGCCUUCAGGUUGUAAACCUCUUUCUCCUGUGACGAAGCGAUAGUGACGGUAAUGGGUAAAGAAGCACCGGCUAACUACGUG
rnacentral:rRNA from 1 species